rnacentral:sRNA from 1 species
UAGACAGCUCUUGACACUGAAGUCUUCUGUUUAUUCACAGAACAGAUAUAACAUGAACAAUAGGCAAGCUUUCUUUACACUAUCCUAUCAAGGUGCCAUGACCCGGACUUGCUGGGACCAUGGGUAAAAGUUCAGUCUAGAGCAGGAGUCGGCAACC